GGAAUCUCUAUAUAUAAAAGGAUAGUGGGCAAGGGUCUGCGAAGAGAGGGGUUGUGGGGGAGGGAAGAGUCCCUUUAGAAAAAGGAGACUGCCACUGUGUGAAUUAGAUAAGAAGCCACACGUGAUGGCGUGACUUUUAACUCUUACUGUGACUUCCUCAGUGGCUGCUGAUAAGCAUGGACUCUGAACAGGAAACACCUGCCUUACUGUUGCAGUAAACCCAUAUAGGAACCUAUAUCUAGAUGAGCUGCAGGAUUACAACUUCCAACGAAAUAAAAGAGACAUUCCUUUAAAGCAAAGAUUCAGGAAAUGAAUUGGCAUUGAUGCGGGAGAUUGCCUUGCAGUUCUUGGUCACUUUCUAAAUAUGUCUAGAGAAGUGCUUCUAUAUAGGACUGUGGCAGGAGAGGGAAUAUGACUGCACAGCCUCCAAGGAACAAACUAUAAGCCAACCCAAGAAUGAGAAAGAAGUCCUCCUCCUCCUCACCAGUACAAAAAUAUUGCAGUGGAUUCUCAAAAAAAACAUCCCCAUAACAAAAGCAUUAAUUGAAGGAAGAUGCAAAUACUGUAAUCAACAAAUGGAAAAUAAACGUGCACAAAUAUCUGUAAGCUUUCCCCAUGGGGGAAAUAGCAGCUUUGGGAGCAUGGGAUAAUUUUCUUGUCCAGUGCCCACAAUCCCAAUCCAAAUCCCCAACUCAACUAUGGAAGAUUCAAGCAUAGAUCUUCCACUAGCAUGUCUAGUUGCACCCUCAUUCACUGAACUAUCAGGGCAGAAACCUGUAGUGCUGGUUUCUAACACGCUUAAGAGCUGUGUGCCCAAUGGCUGAUGGGAAACACUGCUUCCUGCAAAUGUAAGCUUUGCAGUAAGGGAUGGGAAGCCAUGAAAAGGGAGUUGGAGUUGGAUAUUUGCAUUGUUCAUGUCAGUUUAAAAUUAUCUGAAAGCUUAAGAAAGAAACUUUAUUUCCUUCCAUAGCAUUCAAGAAAUUUCACAAGUACAUCACAACCAAGUUGCUGCUUCGGCAAGGUUGUAGAGAACAAACUCACUUUAUCUACCAGUCAGAUGAAUUUAUAGUAAACUGCAACUACGGAUGUGCACGGGCCUCUGGACAGGUCUGAACAGUCAGUGGUUUGGCCAGUUUGAAAGUGGCGGUGAGGGGAAAACCUUUAAAGGCGGAGGAAGAUCACUUAUCCCCACCCCCGCUGCAUUUCCUCCACCAGUGCUCUCUUGAAAACCAGGCCAGCAGGACGGCAGCGUACCUCUCUGC